UACGUAGGGGGCGAGCGUUGUCCGGAUUCAUUGGGCGUAAAGAGCUCGUAGGCGGCUUCGUAAGUCAGAUGUGAAAUCCCUGGGCUCAACCUGGGAACUGCAUUUGAGACUGCAUGGCCUAGAGUAGUGGAAGAGGCAACUGGAAUUCCCAGUGUAGCGGUGAAAUGCGUAGAUAUUGGGAAGAACACCUGAGGCGAAGGCGGGUUGCUGGGCUGACACUGACGCUGAGGCGCGAAAGCCAGGGGAGCGAACGGG
rnacentral:rRNA from 1 species